GAAAAGAAAUCUCAGAACACCUCCUGGCCGUGUGCUGUGUCCUUCCUCUAUGCUGAAUUGAGACUUUAACUUACAAGAUCCACAAAGAGGUGAAUGGGAUUUGGAAGAACAUAGGGGAAUAUUCUGUUGCUCAAGGAUUACCACCCACCACAAACUCAGUAACAGUUCUGUUUCUGUAUUGUAGCAUGAAGAAAUAACAGACCCACUGCUGGUACAUAACCCCCAUAACCCCUCUAACGCAAUUAAGUAGGUCAGCCACUCACAAAUCCAGAAAUCUCAACCCCAAAUCCAGCAAGUUCCAAGGGAGGCCCUCAAAAGACUCUGCAUAACUUUGAAUCUGGCUCCUCUUAGCUUUAAAUACUGGAUAUCGGGACUACUAAAGGAGUAAAGGAUGAGGAAGCAUGGCUUAGCAAAAGUGCUCAGAGGGAAAGACUGACCCAUAUUAAUUAGUAGCUACUGCAACGAUGAAAGGCAAUUUAAAGCGUUUCCCAGGCAGCGCCUCUGGAUUCAGGCUUGAAGAAAGAAAUGAAGACAUUCCUGUGGGUAGAAACUUCAGAGAAAGACACAAGAGCAUUGCUACAGCAAAAGGCUGGCUGAUGUGGACUGGUUUGUUCCAUCUCUAAAGCCACAGGGAGUACCCAGCAUGGACACUCCAGAUUGCCUCUAUGAUUUCCACUUUAUGGAAAGGGGAUGUAUCAGCUUUUGCUAACUGUCAGAACCCUCUGAGAGAGAAGUCCCUGUGAUGGACAGAAGUUUGCCUUCAGAAAACCAUGAAAGUUGAAGGAAUAAAGAGAAAGUGAGGGGCUUUCCCAUGCUGACACGUCUCCCAAGUGCCCUGUGCCCAGCUUCACCUUGGCUCCCUUCCAUUUUUUGCACGACCACUAUUUAGUCAACAGAUGGCACUCGGUAACUGCUGGGAGAAGCUGGGAGCCAGCUGCCAAAAAGCCCACUGUAGAAGGAGUUUAAUCUGCCUUCUCUGGGAUGCUGCUUGUAUAUAAUGUAUUGGGACAGCAGAUAAGCCUCAUCUCUCAAUUUCAGAAACACUGCAGUGUGCUGCCACAUGCACCAGGGAACCCUCAGAUCAUGCUGCCCAAGGCUCCUGAGAGGAAUCAGCAAUACCUUUCCAGUCCUGUUGGAUGCAGGAACAUACAGAUUAUCAAAGAAGAGGUUGCUGACAGCCUGGAGGCACCUUCUGUACCAACCACAGAGCAAAUUUCCUUGCAAUAAGCGAUCUCCCCAUUUGCUUCUCUUGCUCACUCACUCCUUGUUCUGGCCCUUUGACCAGCUGCAACUGCAGGAUAAAAAGGAGUUAGGCUGUUCCUCAAGCCAGCCAGAUGAAAGAUCAGCAUAUUCCCUAGACUGGGAGGAGGUAUAAGCCAGCAAUUUUAAAUGGGUUUUAGUUGGAGAGACUCAUGGGGAUCUAAGGACUGCUGAGGCAUUCAUUUUGAAAUGCAUCAAUAUCUAGAGAAAUUGAAAACUACCAAAGAUGGUUAAAGGAUAUAAAAGCAAUUGCUUUCAUACAGUGAUACCAGUCAUAACAGAGGAACCACUCAGAAUGUGCAGAGCAGCUCUGUUCCAACUGAAAGACAAUUUCUUCCCCUCUUUUCCCCCUCCCUGCACACCAUCCCAGCUUGCAGGCUGCUGCUGCUGUACACCCCGUGGGUAAGUUUUGAGCCUACCAGUGUUUAAUGCCACCAUGAAUCAUUUCUUCUCUCACAACAUUUCUGCCACUCCUGGAAAACUUGUAAUUUUGCUGUAAAGUCCCUGAAGUAAUUGUGAGCAAAAUAAGAAAAGGGUCUGGUCUCUUCCCACUUCCAGACAUGCAGAGCAGGACCAAAUGCAGGUUUGCUGACCCCAUUUGCAUCCCCAGCCUUCAGAUGUAGGACACAAGAGGAUGCCAAGAUGUGACAAGUGGCUGGGGCAGCCAGUCAAACAGGUUCUUUUCAUCUCUUAUGGAACUGCAGGACUUGUGGAAAGCAGGGAGAACUGCAGACAGCAACCAGCUCUCCCCGGGUGCAGGCUGUCAUCAGCAGGGCCAAGGGUGUUUCUUCUUUUCAGCACAUUGUUUCAGCCCAGAGCUAGGAGGACAUGGGAAAUUCAAUGGCCUAUAACUUGCAGUGUGCAAAGUGCAAAUGAGAAAGCCAGAAGCCAACUGGUUCAUAAUAUGGUCACAUGUGCCUUGUGAACUUUACAGGGUCCAACUUAUUUGACACAGAGCUGCUUUGGGGCAACACCAGAAGCAACAUGACUCACAUCCAGACUAAUGCAGGAGGAAAGAAGUAGCAAACUCCAUGGCUGUUUUCCAGGUAUCUCAUCCCAACCAAACUGAAUUAAAACCUAACAAUCCAACUCACUUUGCUUUGCCAGCAGAACUCAAAAUCAAACUCUAGAGACCAAGCUAGGCUCCAGGGUUUAAACUGGACCGAAGAUUCAACAUGGUUUCCACUGACAUCACACCAUGCUGAUGCUCUAUGGGUUCAGUUUGGGCUCAGCAGAGAGAUGGACUUGCAGAAGAAGGUGAGGAGCAGAAAUGAUUUGAGAAGGGAGGAGAUGAAAAGAGGAGACAAGGUGACAAGUAUUAAAGAACCAGUUCAACAGUACUCUCCUUGGGUGAAGAGAAAGGGCUGAAGUACACUAAGACCCCUGGACCAUCAGGUGAAGGUAACAGGAGCCAAAUUCAAAGUGACAAAAGCUUUCUUUCACAUCCACAGAACAUCCUGCCAAGAGACACAUGGAGGCAAAGGAUUUACCCAGGUCCAAAAGGAGACAACACAAAUAUUUCCUCUCCAAAAUGUCAAUGGGCAGUUCCCAAUCACUGGCACUGUUGCCAUAGGGACAGAACAGUUCCUGCUGGGUCCUAUAUAUCCUGUGGGUAUGAGACAGGCACAGGCAGGGAUCAGCAGUUUGCAGCCAAUCCUGCUAGCUUGAGUCUUCUCCCAGCAUCGAGGACUGUGCAGAAGCCAGAAUAGCUGGAACCCUGUGAGAUCCAGCAAUAAAGCUAGUAUUUGUGGUUUGAGUAGCA